rnacentral:rRNA from 1 species
UGAAUACGAGACGCUAAGGCGUCGAAGUAGUGUAUGUCAUACUUCCAAGAAAAGCUUGCACUGUCAUAGAUAAAAAACGCCUGUACCAUAACCGACACAGGUGGGUAGGUAGAGUAUACUAAGGGGCGCGAGAUAACUCUCUCUAAGGAACUCGGCAAAAUAACUCCGUAACUUCGGGAGAAGGAGUGCCUUAUUCGUAAGGUUGCAAUAACAAGAUCCAAGCAACUGUUUAUCAAAAACACAGGUCUCCGCUAAGUCGUAAGACGAUGUAUGGGGGCUGACGCCUGCCCAGUGCCAGAAGGUUAAAGAAGUUGGUUAGCAAUUGCGAAGCUGAUAACUGAAGCCCUGGUGAACGGCGGCCGUAACUAUAACGGUCCUAAGGUAGCGAAAUUCCUUGUCGGGUAAGUUCCGACCCGCACGAAAGGCGUAAUGAUUUGAAUACUGUCUCGGAGAGGGGCUCGGUGAAAUAGACUUGUCUGUGAAGAUGCGGACUACCUGCACCAGGACAGAAAGACCCUAUGAAGCUUUACUGUAACUUGAAAUUGAAAUUGGACUUUAUUCGCGCAGUAUAGGUGGGAGGCGUUGAUUAUAAUCUUGUGGGAUUAUUGGAGCCAUCAGUGAGAUACCACUCUUGUAAUGUUAGAUUUCUAACUUUGAAUCAUUAUCUGGUCAAAGAACAGUUUCAGGCGGGCAGUUUGACUGGGGCGGUCGCCUCCUAAACGGUAACGGAGGCGUACAAAGGUUUCCUCUGAACGGUUAGAAAUCGUAUCUAGAGUGUAAAGGCAUAAGGAAGCUUGACUGUGAGACCUACAAGUCGAGCAGGGACGAAAGUCGGUCUUAGUGAUCUGACGGUACUGAGUGGAAAGGCCGUCACUCAACGGAUAAAAGUUACUCUAGGAUAACAGGCUGAUCUCCCCCAAGAGUUCACAUCGACGGGGAGGUUUGGCACCUCGAUGUCGGCUCAUCGCAUCCUGGGGCGGUAGUACGUCCCAAGGGUUGGGCUGUUCGCCCAUGAAAGCGGUACGCGAGCUGGGUUCAGAACGUCGUGAGACAGUUCGGUCCAUAUCCGGUGUAGGCGUUAGAAUAUUGAGAGGAGCCUUCUUUAGUACGAGAGGACCGAGAAGGACAUACCUCUGGUGUACCAGUUAUCGUGCCAACGGUAAACGCUGGGUAGCUAUGUAUGGAGUGGAUAACCGCUGAAAGCAUCUAAGUGGGAAGCCCACCUCAAGAUAAGUAUUCUCA